rnacentral:rRNA from 1 species
UGGGGAAUAUUGCACAAUGGGCGCAAGCCUGAUGCAGCCAUGCCGCGUGUAUGAAGAAGGCCUUCGGGUUGUAAAGUACUUUCAGCGGGGAGGAAGGGCGUAAGGUUAAUACCUUUGCUCAUUGACGUUACCCGCAGAAGUAGCACCGGCUAACUCCGUGCCAGCAGCCGCGGUAAUACGGAGGGUGCAAGCGUUAAUCGGAAUUACUGGGCGUAAAGCGCACGCAGUCGGUAUGUUAAGUCAGAUGUGAAAUCCCCGGGCUCAACCUGGGAACUGCAUCUGAUACUGGCAAGCUUGAGUCUCGUAGAGGGGGGUAGAAUUCCGAGUGUAGCUGUGAAAUGCGUAGAGAUCUGGAGGAAUACCGGUGGCGAAGGCGGCCCCCUGGACGAAGACUGACGCUCAGGUGCGAAAGCGUGGGGAGCAAACAGG